AACCUCGCGCGAUUGGAGCGGCUGAUAUCAGAUUAGGUUGUUGGUGAGGUAAAAGCUCACCAAGCCGACGAUCUGUAGCUGGUUUGAGAGAACGACCAGCCACACUGGGACUGAGACACGGCCCAGACUCCUACGGGAGGCAGCAGUGGGGAAUUUUGGACAAUGGGCGAAAGCCUGAUCCAGCAAUGCCGCGUGUGGGAAGAAGGACUUCGGGUUGUAAACCACUUUUGUACGGAACGAAAAAGUUUGCUUUAAUAAAGUGGGCUCAUGAC
rnacentral:rRNA from 1 species